AAUCUGCAGAAAAAUCAGCAUUUCUUUAAAAAAAAAAAAAACUUCCAGCACCCUGCUGGGACUAGUGGCGUAUGCAGAUACUAUGGUAUGCAGAGACACGUUAAGUGCAGGGAAAAGCACCGCACCCACUCAGGAAACACAACUAAAUCCCGCGUGUACUAUGGAGUGUGAGAAUAAUCGCAAUCGGCGUGUGUGUGUGUGUAAAAUCUCAUCCAAAAAUACUCUGCACGGUUCCAAAAGGAGAAAGAAUAAAAUGAGAAGAAAGAAAAAAAAAAAGUACAUCGACUCACCAGACAUUAUUGGCGUGAAGAAGAGCAGGACCCAGUGAAACACCCCAAGCGCCUGUUCUUGGCUCUAUUAUAUGGGCAAGAACGAAAUAUUGAUAAAAUUGUCACAAAGUCUCAAUCAAUCACCUUCACAACACUCUCACUAUGUACAAUCAUGCAGUAAUAUAGGCAGGGAAGCAUUAGUUUGACUAUUUCUACAGUCAAGCCAGGUAUUUAAAGUCCUAAGAACUCAAUGAUUUGACAAUGAUUUGAUUGCGCGAUACUUUCAAUUUGAAUAUUCAAAGACUUCGCAAAAAUACUUAUAUCUUUGCGAUAUUCGCUAUCAGAGCGCAUGUAAGAGCACUUCCUUUAAUAGAAUAUUGCACUAAUUCACACUUUGACACAAAAACCAAAAUAUAUUUUUGACAUUUUAUCACCCUUUUGAUAAUGAUGCCAGGAGGUUGGCUCUAGAGCUCUCUUUGCACUUUACAACAUCACUGAGCGAGCAAAUGUCAUUCCAAACAACACACAGCACCAUACACACAUCCUACAGUGCAUAACUAUAUAAAUAAAUAAGAAAUUAUAAUGUUAUGAGGCUUGACAGUAAACCACUUUGCCAGAAAUGUAGGCAUGGUGGGCGUGGCAUAUAGUGGCAGCCAUUUUGACCAUCAGAGCAUGGGGAGAUGGUGCUCUCUGACACACACUUCACAUGGGAACACUUGUGGGAUGUGUAUGAUUUUUUUAUGAAGAUUAGAAGGAGCCUGAAAUUGAUUUUUAAUCAUUUGGAAUCUGAUAUUUUGUGCAAGAGCUGCCUUUAGAGGAAGCUGUUUGCUGUAUCAGUAUCAUGUAUAUGAAAGCACCUUAAAUCAAAGGUUGAUGUUGAUGUUGAUGUUUCUAUAGUGAUAAUACUAUGUUAGGAAAAUAUAUUUUUUAAACAAUUUAUUUAUUACUUCCUAUUAAGAAUUUUGUCAAUGUAAAUUUGCGAAUUUCACCUUUUUUUCUUUACAAUAUUUCUUUCCUAAUCAAUUAGCAUGCAAUGUUUACUAUAGGCACCAUACUAUAUAGUAUUAAUAUUAUCCAGAUAUUAAGAUAUUAAUAAAUUAUGCAUCAAUUUAGGAUUUGUCCAAACGUGUCAAAAUCAAAUGUCUACAAAAUAAUCAUUUCUAAUAAAAAAAAAGUUUCUAAAACA